UGGAACUUCUGGUCUACCACUCCUGACUGCUUUCUCCAGUCUUCCCAUUCUCAGCAAUGCGAAUCCAUUCUUGUAGCUCCUCUGGCCAGGGGUCAAGUCUGGUGUGUGUUGAUGACCUACAGCACUUGACAAGGGCCCAGAACAAAUGCUCUGUGAAGAUGUCUUCGACUGAAGAGAACCCUGCCUCUUCCCACUCUCCUCUCUCCACCAAGCGCAAGAGGUCAGGAGGCCAGAGGCCACCUCACCCUACCCGGCAGGUCUGGGAACGCCACGUGCCCCUUCUGUGCUCAGAGACUCCAUUUUUAAAAUGGUAUCAAGGGAACCA